rfam:Heligmosomoides polygyrus genome assembly, scaffold: HPBE_scaffold0005305
GUGCCGGUGGUGUAAUGGCGUAGAGCGUUCCUGUCCUGUGAGCAGGAGGUGCGGGAUCGAGUCCCGCCUGGCGCU